rnacentral:rRNA from 1 species
UCCUGGCUCAGGACGAACGCUGGCGGCGUGCCUAAUACAUGCAAGUCGAACGAACUCUGGUAUUGAUUGGUGCUUGCAUCAUGAUUUACAUUUGAGUGAGUGGCGAACUGGUGAGUAACACGUGGGAAACCUGCCCAGAAGCGGGGGAUAACACCUGGAAACAGAUGCUAAUACCGCAUAACAACUUGGACCGCAUGGUCCGAGCUUGAAAGAUGGCUUCGGCUAUCACUUUUGGAUGGUCCCGCGGCGUAUUAGCUAGAUGGUGGGGUAACGGCUCACCAUGGCAAUGAUAC